GAAUCCCCUGAAUGAUGUAGGCUAUGGGGCCACAUAAGACUUUGUCCAUCCAGGGUUACGAUGAAUGUCAAAUAUAAACUAAAGAACCAACAUUUUUCACACAACUCCAGGUUGUUACUACAAGUGUCAUCAAGGGAUAACUACUACAAGUAGAAGCACCAUUUUUGGAUGGAAAAAACCCUUCAGGAAAGUAUAUGUAUCACAUGUAACAUGUAGUGUAACAAAGUAUGAACAGUAAGGUUUUUACAUACAGUAGUACAUAUUACAUACGUACAUAACUUUUUUUUACAGGAAUUUCCAACCAAGUUUGAUUAUGUACAUAUGUAGUACAUGUUAUAAACCACUGUACGUAUGGUUACUGUAUGUAACUUACUAAACAUACAUAACAUGACUUAACUUUGAUACUUUUUUGGUACAUUCCAGAAAACCAGGACCCCCUCCAUGAUGCAGGCUAUGGGGCCACAUAAAACUUUGUCCAGGGUUACUACAUAACAUAGCACGACAACUGUAAACUAUGUACUACUGUACUAAAGAACCCCCUGAAUGAUGUAGGCUAUGGGGCCACAUAAGACUUUGUCCAUCCAGGGUUACGAUGAAUGUCAAAUAUAAACUAAAGAACCCCCUGAAUGAUGUAGGCUAUGGGGCCACAUAAGACUUUGUCCAUCCAGGGUUACAUAGCAGGACAACUUUAAACUAAAAAGCUACCAGACUGGGAUUUUAGUGUACUCCAGGAUCUAACAAAGUGUGCAAUGCAUGUGUAUACGUAUAGUGACAGUGUUUAGUGUAUACCCUAAGGAUUAAGUGUAGUGUACAUUGUGCUUUUUAGUGUCACAAGAGUUUAAUAAAGAAUUAUACCUUCAAGAACCAUCCUUUGCCAUUGGAAUAACCACACUACACAUCAUGCAAUCUACUUGCAUGUCACACAGGUAAGGUCUCUAACUUUUUCUUAGUUUAAGGCAUAUUUCCAAGUGUCGUUCCGGCUUACGACGAUUUUCGGCUUACGACGCGCCUCAAGAACGGAACCCCCGUCGUAACCCGGGGACUGCC